UCAAGUUAUUAAGGGUGCAGGGCGGAUGCCUUGGCACUAGGAGCCGAUGAAGGACGUGAUAAGCUGCGAUAAGCUUCGGGGAGUUGCACGUAAACUUUGAUCCGAAGAUUUCCGAAUGAGGAAACUUCACUUAGAGUAAUGUCUAAGUAUCAUUAAGUGAAUACAUAGCUUAAUGAGGGGAACUCAGGGAACUGAAACAUCUAAGUACCUGAAGGAAGAGAAAGAAAUUCGAUUCCGUAAGUAGCGGCGAGCGAACGCGGAUUAGCCCAAACCAAUAAAGUUUUCUUUAUUGGGGUUGCGGACAUAUCAUAACGAAGAGGUAUCGUAAUUGAAGAGGUUUGGAAAGACCCACCACAGAAGGUAAUAGUCCUGUAUGUUAAACGAGAAGACUUUAGAUAUGAUCCAGAGUACCACGGGACACGUGAAACCCUGUGGGAAGCAGGAGGGACCACCCUCCAAGGCUAAAUACUACCUAGUGACCGAUAGCGUAUAGUACCGUGAGGGAAAGGUGAAAAGAACCCCGGGAGGGGAGUGAAAUAGAACCUGAAACCCUGCACUUACAAGCUGUGGAAGCACAUUUCUUGUGUGACCGCGUACUUUUUGUAGAACGGGCCAACGAGUUACGUUAAGUAGCAAGGUUAAGCACUUAAGGUGCGGAGCCGUAGCGAAAGCGAGUUUUAACUGAGCGUUCAGUUACUUGACGUAGACCCGAAACCGGGCGACCUACCCAUGAGCAGGAUGAAGCGAAAGUAAAAUUUCGUGGAGGUCCGAACCCACGAGCGUUGAAAAGCUCGGGGAUGACUUGUGGGUAGCGGUGAAAUUCCAAUCGAGCCCGGAGAUAGCUGGUUCUCCCCGAAAUAGCUUUAGGGCUAGCCUCAAGGUGAGAGAUACGGAGGUAGAGCACUGAAUGUCCUAGGGGGUAUUGCACCUACCGAAGACUAUCAAACUCCGAAUGCCGUCAUCUUAUACUUGGGAGUCAGACUGUGGGUGAUAAGAUUCAUAGUCGAAAGGGCAACAGCCCAGAUCGUCAGCUAAGGUCCCUAAAUGUAAGUUAAGUGGUAAAGGAUGUGGGAUUGCACAGACAACCAGGAUGUUGGCUUAGAAGCAGCCACUCAUUCAAAGAGUGCGUAAUAGCUCACUGGUCGAGUGAUCCUGCGCCGAAGAUUUCCGGGGCUAAAACUUACUACCGAAGCUACGGCAUCAGUAAUGAUGGGUAGGGGAGCUUCCCAUACGGGUUGAAGCAUGACCGUAAGGACAUGUGGACAGUAUGGGAGUGAGAAUGUUGGCAUGAGUAGCGAGAUGUGGGUGAGAAUCCCACAGGCCGUAAACCCAAGGUUUCCAGGGGAAGGUUCGUCCGCCCUGGGUUAGUCGGGACCUAAGCUGAGGCCGAAAGGCGUAGGUGAUGGACAACAGGUUGAUAUUCCUGUACUACCGAUAACCGUUUGAGAGAAGGGAUGACACAGUAGGAUAAGCUAAGCACACUGUUGGUUAUGUGUGCCCAAGCAUUGAGGCAGUCAAAGUAGGCAAAUCCGCUUUGAUAAUGCUGGGAUGUGAUGGGGAGCGAAAUUUAGUAGCGAAGUAGCUGAUUUCACACUGUCAAGAAAAGUCUCUAUCGAGGUUAAAGGUACCCGUACCGCAAACCGACACAGGUGGGUGAGGAGAGUAUCCUAAGGCCAGCGAGAGAACUGUUGUUAAGGAACUCGGCAAAAUGACCCCGUAACUUAGGGAUAAGGGGUGCCACCAUCAGGUGGCCGCAGAGAAUAGGCCCAAGCGACUGUUUACCAAAAACAUAGGUUUCUGCUAAGUCGCAAGACGAUGUAUAGGAGCUGACGCCUGCCCGGUGCUGGAAGGUUAAGGGGAUCUGUUAGAGCAAUCGAAGCAGUGAACUUAAGCCCCAGUAAACGGCGGCCGUAACUAUAACGGUCCUAAGGUAGCGAAAUUCCUUGUCGGGUAAGUUCCGACCCGCACGAAAGGCGUAACGAUUUGGGCACUGUCUCAACAACAGACUCGGUGAAAUUGUAAUUCCGGUGAAGAUGCCGGAUACCUGCGACAGGACGGAAAGACCCCAUGGAGCUUUACUGUAGCUUGACAUUGGGUCUUGGUACUACAUGUACAGGAUAGGUGGGAGGCUUUGAAACCAGGACGCCAGUUUUGGCGGAGCCAUCCUUGGGAUACCACCCUUGUAGUACUGGGACUCUAACCAUAGGCCAUGAAUCUGGUCUUGGGACACUGUCAGGUGGGCAGUUUGACUGGGGCGGUCGCCUCCCAAAAGGUAACGGAGGCGCUCAAAGGUUCUCUCAGUACGGUCGGAAAUCGUACGUAGAGUGUAAAGGCAAAAGAGAGCUUGAUUGCAAGACAUACAGGUCGAGCAAGGAUGAAAAUCGGACUUAGUGAUCCGGUGGUUCUGCGUGGAAGGGCCAUCGCUCAACGGAUAAAAGCUACCCUGGGGAUAACAGGCUUAUCUCCCCCAAGAGUCCACAUCGACGGGGAGGUUUGGCACCUCGAUGUCGGCUCAUCACAUCCUGGGGCUGUAGUAGGUCCCAAGGGUUGGGCUGUUCGCCCAUUAAAGUGGUACGCGAGCUGGGUUCAGAACGUCGUGAGACAGUUCGGUCCCUAUCCGUCGCAGGCGUAGGAAAUUUGAGAAGACCUGUCCUUAGUACGAGAGGACCGGGAUGGACGUACCUCUGGUGUACCAGUUGUCCUGCCAAGGGCAUGGCUGGGUAGCUAUGUACGGAAUGGAUAAGCGCUGAAAGCAUCUAAGCGCGAAGCCAACUUCAAGAUAAGAUUUCCCACCGCAAGGGUAAGACCCCAGAAAGACUAUCUGGUUGAUAGGUCGAAGGUGUAAGUG
rnacentral:rRNA from 1 species